rnacentral:rRNA from 1 species
GACGAAGGAUCCAAGCGUUAUCCGGAUUCAUUGGGUUUAAAGGGUGCGUAGGCGGGUUUAUAAGUCAGUGGUGAAAGCCGAUCGCUUAACGAUCGAACUGCCAUUGAUACUGUAGACCUAGAGUACAGAUGAUGUUGGCGGAAUAUGACAUGUAGCGGUGAAAUGCAUAGAUAUGUCAUAGAACACCGAUUGCGAAGGCAGCUGACGAAACUGUAACUGACGCUGAUGCACGAAAGUGCGGGGAUCAAACAGG